AGUGAACGCUGGCGGUAGGCCUAACACAUGCAAGUCGAACGGCAGCACAGUAAGAGCUUGCUCUUACGGGUGGCGAGUGGCGGACGGGUGAGGAAUACAUCGGAAUCUACUUUUUCGUGGGGGAUAACGUAGGGAAACUUACGCUAAUACCGCAUACGACCUACGGGUGAAAGCAGGGGAUCUUCGGACCUUGCGCGAUUGAAUGAGCCGAUGUCGGAUUAGCUAGUUGGCGGGGUAAAGGCCCACCAAGGCGACGAUCCGUAGCUGGUCUGAGAGGAUGAUCAGCCACACUGGAACUGAGACGCGGUCCAGACUCCUACGGGAGGCAGCAGUGGGGAAUAUUGGACAAUGGGCGCAAGCCUGAUCCAGCCAUACCGCGUGGGUGAAGAAGGCCUUCGGGUUGUAAAGCCCUGUUGUUGGGAAAGAAGAGCAGCAGGUUAAUACCCCGCUGUUCUGACGGUACCCAAAGAAUAAGCACCGGCUAACUUCGUG
rnacentral:rRNA from 1 species